GCGAAGCAGGGAGAUGGCAUUCCUCCCAUAACCGCCGCAAGGCUGAUGAUGCCUACGCGAGA
rnacentral:ncRNA from 2 species